GAUUUUAAUGCUGAGAAAGUGAAACUAUGCUCGCUCUUGUCAUCUUCUUCCCUCUCUCUUCCUUUGACCUUCCCCCUUCGCCUCCCCUUCCCUCCUAGUGCUCUGCUCCUUCCCAUUUCCUUUCCUACCUCAAAUCCCAUUACCCACCGCCAUACCUUUUUUCCUUCUUUCUCUGACUCUGAUUUUUCCCAGUUCUCUCUUAAUGAGGUUUAUUUGUGAGCCUCAAGCCUCAUAUUAUUGUUCAGUCUUUGGGUAUCCUCCAUGCUGGGGGCUCCUUCCUGGGCCCAUGAAAGAUGAGUUUAGGGUCUGAAAGAAGGAUCUUUCUUCUUGCCCUCAAGUCACUUCUGUAGCCUGUUGUGGUUUGCAUGCUAGAUGCAUCUGGACUACAUGGAAAAGAUUUCCUAGAAGUGUCUAUGGACUGACUGUGUUACUCCCAAAUUCAUAUGUUGAAGUCCUAAUCCCCAUCUUGAUGGUAUUUGGAGGUGGGGCCUUUGGGAGGUAGUUAGGCUUAGAUGAGAUCAUGAGGUUGGGGACUACGUGAUGGGAUUAAUGUCUUUCAAAGGAAAUGAAGAAACACAGGAGCUUUCUCUCUCUCCAUGCUCAGGUACUGAGGAAAGAUCAUAUGAGCACACAGCAAAAAGGUAACUAUCUAUCAGGUAGGAAGAAUGCCCUCACCAAGAACCAUAUCGGCCAGUACCUUGAUCUUAGACUUCCCAGCCUCCAGAACUGUGAGAAAAUAAAUGUCUGUUGUUGAAGCCACCACAUCCAUGGUAUUUUGUUGUAGCAGCCCAAACUGACUAAGACAAAGUAUCUUCUUUUCAAAGAUUGGACUUUAUAUUUUUUACUUGUGUUAGUAUUUCAUAAUCCCAAAGUUCUACAACUUCCAUAUAACAAAAAUUUUGAAUUCAGUACAAUGACCUUGUAAGUAUUUCAUUUAUAACAAGCCUCUUUAAAAUAUAUUUAGUAACAUUGCUUUAAUUAGAAAGAAUUUAAAAUAUACGACUGGCUGUUGUUGUUUUUAGUCAUGAAAUAUUCAACUUUGUCCAGCCAUCCUGGGCUACUCUAACAACUGUAAUUGCUUUAUAACUACUUAGCUAUGGAUUUCUGGAAUCUGAAAUUGAGGCCAUAAGCAGAAAUGACUAAAAUAUAGAAUUCUUUCUCCUAUCUUUAUUUGUUCAUCUAGAUAUUGGAACUGUAUCAUUAAAUUUAAAGGGGGGAACUAGUAUUGACAACAAAUUAAAUUAUUUCAACCAAAACCACUUAAUAGGUAUGUUGACUGUUAGUCAUUACCAAAUCAGCUAAGAAAAAAUAGUUUUAUUUCCACUUUGUUGAUUCAACAAAUAAUUUUCAUAUUUGUAAUUCAUAUUGACAGUCACAGAUUCCUAGGAUCUCUAUUAACAGAUACCUCGUUUGUGCCUGUGAUUAUUUCUUCAUCUGUGCCUGUCUUUGCCCUUUCCUAGCUGAAUGUCCUUGAAAAAAUCAUUUGGCCUUUUUGUGUCUGUUUCCUCAUCAUGAGGUGGAAAAAUACAUAGAGUCAAAUGUGUGAGGUUGUUUCCAGAAAUUAAUUUAAGUAAGCACUUUGAAUACUACCAGACCAUAGUAAGUUCUAUGAUGAUGACGACAGAUCCAGUUGAGAGCUCAUUUGCUGGCAGCAUCCUAAAUAACUCUGCUUCAUGGAAGAAAGGCUCUGUAAAUACCAAAGAUUAAGAUCCUUGGUUUAAGACUCAAGGAAUCUGUUUACAAGGUAAGUAAGCAAGAGAACAAAAACAAAACAUAGUUUAUACAAGGCCCAUUCAAUCACAAUCUUAUCUUUUCAAUUUCAAGUCUAUCCCCUUUAAGUUUCCAUGACAUAAAUAUCAGCUGACAUACACACAAGGUGACUCACCUUCUUCCCAUUAAACUAGGUUGAGAUUAAAAACAAACAAGCAAACAGCUGGAAUGUGGCACGUGGGUCAGACCCUUCUGAGUCCAGUUGGGUAACUCAGCAGAGAUCAGAAUGAUCUUCAAAAACCAACAAGCCAUUGGCACGUAUCUUCAGGCAUGCUUGAAGUCUAUGGGGCCAAAUGGUAGAGUAUCCUGGCAGAGCCAAAAAGUCUUCUUUUAUGACACAGAAAAGAAAACUUCUUUCAAAGUAGUUAUGCAACCCAGGAGAACACAAUGCAUCCACUGUGUGUGUCCUGGGGCUGUCUAUGAACACAUGAUUUCAUAUUUUUGUCCUCUGUAAACUUCAGCAUUGAUGAUGAACAUUAUUUCAAGGAAAUAUCCCACUACUUUAUCUCUGUAAAGACAUCCAUAGAGAAUGUAAGUUAUAAUCCUUAUAAAAUCUUGUUAGGGAAGUAAUUUUGCUCAUUUCAUACUGUUGACAUUUCUGAAUUUCAGUAAUCAUUAAUUUUUUUAAAGCUGCCAGCAGAUAUGUACAAUACUCCUUUUAGAUAUUAUUCCCAUCAAAGACAGAUUUCACCUCUUUCACUCUUUGUGUCAUUUCUCUAUUAUUUUGAAAAUAUUACUAAUGCCUUCAAGUUCAUUUGUAUUCUGUAAGAUUCUCCUUGUAUCCAAGCAACUCCAUACGGGUGUGUCGGCUGCAGCCAGGCGGCAGUUCUGCCUGUUUUGGCAUUUCACGUUCUGCUGCUUCAUCAAGGCCAGCUCCUUCACUGCAGGCUCUUACGACAGCACAUACUUCUCUUAACAGCCAUGUUUUCAGUCCUCGUUUAGGGGCCUUUUAGAAAAUCUCACACCACUUCCUAGUUGGAGCAAUUAAACAAUAGAGAAGAUGGGUAUUCUGGAGCAGAAUUUAAUGAAACAGAACUCCACCAUCUAUGGCAAGUUUGACUGCUUGAGUCUCCAGAGGAUAAUAGUUGGAGGCCACUGAGGCCCAAAUUCAUCAGUCCGGCCAUUGAAGGACACAAGUGAACAAAGGAGGACGGCAAAGACAGAACUGUGAUAUUCAAACACUCAAUAGCUCACAGUGUCGGGGUUCAUUAUGACACUUACUAAGCACAUGCCAUAUUUCUGACACUGUGCUAAGAGUUUCAUGAACAUUAACUAAAUUAACCCCAUAAAAACGCCAUUAGAAAGAUGCAGUUUUGUACCCCCUUACACAGAUGAAGAAAAUAAAGUAUAGAGACUUUAAGAAAUUUGCCAGAAGUCUUAUAACUGGUGAGUAAACUUUAGCUACUUGAUCAGACCUCAACCAGGCGAUCAGAACCCAGAACCCAUACGGCUCAACCAAUACUUUAAUCUACUUCUCAAAGUCUAAGGUAAGUACGCAGGACCAAGCCAGAAAGCCAGGAUACGAGGCAGAGGGCUAGAAGACCAGGUUUUCCUAAAGCAUCAGAGUUUUGUUGUUGUUUGAAUUUUCUGCUGCCACCAUUCAGCAGCAGCUAGGCUAUGCCUCUCAUGAUCAUGACACGUAGUGGAAAUUUUCCUGGCUUCUAUACAUCAUCAUCUCUGCCUGUGUGAGUCAAUCUGUCAGCACAAGUACAAGGAUUGGUUUGCCAUGGCUCUUUGAAACAGUUACUCUUGUCCUCAUUGUAGAGAUGGCGAUACUAAGGCAGAAUAUGGUAAGACAGUUUUGUUGGUUGGAUAUUUGGGGCUCAGUGGGGAUGGCUUGUCUCUACUCCAUGUGAUGUCAGCUGGGGUGACUUGAUUAGGGCUAAGAGAUCAAAGAUUGCUUCAUUCUCAAUAAAUGGAGCUUUGCUGUUACUGUCAAACUGGGGCAAUGUGGUUCUCUUCCAUGUGGCUUCACUCUCCAUAUGGUAGUUCAUUCACUAUGAUCUUUCUCUCCACAUGUUCUCUGUCUCCGCAGGCUAGCCUGGACUUCUUUUUGUGGAGACUGGAUUCCAAGAUUGAAAGUAGAAGCUACAUGUUUUCUCCAAGCAGGGCUUUCAGACUUCACUUCUGCAACAUUUUAUUGAUGAAAGCAAGUCACAAGACCAGACUGAUUCAAGGGGUGGAGAAAUAGACCCUACUUCUUGAUGGAGGGAGGAGUAGAGUUACAUUGCAAAGGGAUCUGGACAAAAAAAGGAGUGAUUUAUUAGGAAUCAUGUUUAACAAUUUACCACAAUCCCCAGCGCAACUGCCUGUUAGCUGGAUCCAGAAAUGUCUACGACUACUGCAAUGCCACUUGGCCUUAGGGGUGAUGUGACCCAGUGUAAAGAGAUGGUGGUCUUAACCAAUCACAGUUAAGAUAGUUUAGUUUUGGAAGGUAUAAAAAAUAUGUAACAACAUGAAUGCACUUUUAGGGUCAGACAAGAGACUUGGAAAGAGCCUGCAAAAUGGAGGAGCCCUGAGGCCUAAGUCUCAUGAGUGUCAAUGCUUACCUGUAUCUAGACACUGGCAUCCCCCUUUUGAUAAGGCCAAGAUUGAUUGUUUUCCUUUUCUACCUACCCUAUAUCUAAUCCAUGUACAAACACUGUUGACACACAAAAGAACCCUAAAUUCAACAAUCUGUGAAGAAUUUUUGCACUAACAUGUUAGUUCAAAAACUCAACAUUGCUUGCUAAGACUAUUGCAAUAAACUCCUCUAUGAUCCCCUAAUUUGAUUCUUGCUCCCCCUUGGCAUACCAUGCUGGAACAUGUGGUCAUUCAUGGUAGGGAGCAUUUAGGCAAGAUUUCUACAUCAACCCCACUGUUAUCUCUCCAGAGUUGAAGCUAUGAGACAAUUCAAAAAUAAUAUGGUAGUCAAUUCUGUUUACUCAGACAGCUCUCACUCACAAACGGAUGAUGAGUGACUUUUUAUUAAGUUCCAGAAAAGAAAUCACAGACUAUCUUUUAAGAAGUCAGAGUCUCUUUUUUACCUGCUGAUGAGGCACAGGACAUGGAAAUACAUCCUCGGCAUCCAAUAACGACAGACCUUCCAGAUCUUAUUGUGCUGGGCACCACAUGGUUAAGCUUUUUACUGUGUUAAUUUGGUUUUGCGAAGGCCAUUUAUAAAUAGAGUUAUGAGGAGAUGUAUGGAAGAAAGGAGAGAAGAGUGGGAACAAAGCAAAGCUAACG
rnacentral:lncRNA from 1 species